rnacentral:rRNA from 1 species
AACGAACGCUGGCGGCAUGCCUAACACAUGCAAGUCGAACGAGACCUUCGGGUCUAGUGGCGCACGGGUGCGUAACGCGUGGGAACCUGCCCUUAGGUUCGGAAUAACUCCCCGAAAGGGGUGCUAAUACCGGAUAAUGUCUUCGGACCAAAGAUUUAUCGCCUUUGGAUGGGCCCGCGUUGGAUUAGCUAGUUGGUAGGGUAAAAGCCUACCAAGGCGACGAUCCAUAGCUGGUCUGAGAGGAUGAUCAGCCACACUGGGACUGAGACACGGCCCAGACUCCUACGGGAGGCAGCAGUGGGGAAUUUUGGACAAUGGGCGAAAGGCUGAUCCAGCAAUGCCGCGUGAGUGAUGAAGGCCUUAGGGUUGUAAAGCUCUUUUACCCGGGAUGAUAAUGACAGUACCGGGAGAAUAAGCUCCGGCUAACUCCGUG